rnacentral:rRNA from 1 species
UACGGGGGGGGCAAGCGUUGUUCGGAAUUACUGGGCGUAAAGGGCUCGUAGGUGGCCAACUAAGUCAUACGUGAAAUCCCUCGGCUUAACCGGGGAACUGCGUCUGAUACUGGAUGGCUUGAGGUUGGGAGAGGGAUGCGGAAUUCCAGGUGUAGCGGUGAAAUGCGUAGAUAUCUGGAGGAACACCGGUGGCGAAGGCGGGUCUCUGGGCAGUAACUGACGCUGAGGAGCGAAAGCGUGGGGAGCGAACAGG